GAAAGGUGGACGCCGUUGCCUCCUGGCAGCUGCCAAAGCAAGAACAUGACCAUGGACUCAGUGCUCUCAGGAGAAAGUGAAGACAUUUUCCCAUGAACAUUUCCCAUUUCCAUGUACUUUGGUGCCUUCUGCUCUAAGCUGAAAGAUGUGGACACAGGUGAUGACCCCGAGUAAUUGCUCCAGGAUCCACACGUACCACAGAGGAGCUGAGAUCUAAACCCAGGCCACUGGUUCUAGAACCUGUGCUCCCCACCCCUGUAUCAUUGGCCUCUUCCCACAAAGACUCAUUUCAGAAAGUCGAAUAUCGUGCACAAACAGCACCAGGCUCCAAAACCACUGCAGGCAGGACGCCAAUAAGCUGGAGACGGGACGGGUCCUAACACUGGUGGUACGGGCUCCGCUGUCGUAUCCUGCAGGCGCACAAGCAACCCACCGGCAGAGGAAAAGCUGUGGAAAGGCACCCGGAUCGCAAGGCCCCUGGCUCGCGUGACCCGACCCCAGGAGAAGCAGCCCAGUUACCCGACAUCGUGGUCAGCAGCAGCUGGGGCGCUGGCUGGGUGCUGGAGCUCCAGGCACUCGGCGCCUCCCAGGGCCCCUGUGCAGGGAGAGAAGCAGAGAUGCAACAUUUUUAAAGUUUCACAAAGCAUCCAGCUGCACCCAGAUUCCCGGAGCAGGAGACAAACAGAAUUAAUGUUUUAUACCUUCGGGUAUAGGUUUGAGUUUUCCCCCCCUCAUGCCAAGUAUUUAAAACCUCUAGAAACCCAUGAUUUGACAAUCAAUGAUUGCGCGAUACUUUCAAUUUGAAUAUUCAAAGGCUUAACAAAAUGGACUAUCUUCUGCAGAAAUCCUGCACACAGACACCCCACAGACAGCCCAAAGAAACAGGGAUUGAGACCCCUUUGUGUCCCGGGCCUUGCUUUUAUUGUAUUUUAAACAUUUUGCCCACCUUUCCACAGACAGAGCAGGAGUCCUCAAAGAUGCUCUGUAUUUCUGCCUCAAAGGCAGCUCUGGGAUCCCUGAGUGAUUUAGGGGGCCCUUCUUGACCCCUGGAGCCAGGCUGGCCCACCAGACUGAUUCCUGGAUCCCUAGUCUUCAAUUUAAGGGAAAAUCUCAGGUUUUGGGGAGUGACCUUGGCAGCCAGUAGGUACCACACAGCAGGGAGUCCCUCUGGCCCCAGGUUGCAGGCCGCAGGCCCCGCAGAGGCCUCUGCCUCGUGCCUCAUCUCCUCCUGGCCCCGCCUGGCCACCAGCGGCUUGCUUGCUUGCCUUUGGCCAGCUCUCUGACUGGGCCCCAGACCCUGCUGGUUCAAAACAGAAUGCCUGCCCAGUAAGACCCUUUGCUUGUCCACCAGGAGCUGGGAUGUCUGUGCAGCCUCACCCUUGAGAUUUUCUGAGGCUGGCGUUUCUUGCCCUGGGAAGCCCCCCCCGCUCUCCUCUCGCUCUGGCUCGAGCCAUCCCUGCCCUUUUUGCUGCACGAGUAUGGGUUGAGAAACCUUGAUCUUGGUUCUUCCUCAUUUUAGCUGAAAGGACAUGGCUUUGUGUUCAGGCCUUCACACUCUGCAUGAGAGGUGGGAGAUUCCAGACACAGGGCUGCCAGGCUGGGGAAGCUGAGCCCCUCCCAAAUGACUUAACUGUGCUGGGUUAUGUUCUCCAAGCACGUGUUGUGUCUCUUGUGUGUGAUUUGGAAGCUCAGGGAAACAGGAGUGGUGUCCAGAGAGGAAGUCAGUGCCAGGCCAGAUCCCCUUCUAGCCCCUGGGGGGAAGAGAGAAGCCCCAGAAGACAGAGAGUCAGGAGGGGGUUCCCUCUGCAAAUAAGCCAAGACACUCCCAGGAUGCCAGUCCAGGCGAUGGUUAUGCGCCCUGUUCCCUGAGUUCUCUGCAAUGCCAGGAGUGGGGCUGAGCCCCGUAGGCCACCAGAAAAAUAAUCUGUAUUCCCUUGAGUGUGUCCACUGGACGGUAGGAAUGGGGGUCUCCGAGGUGACAAGGCACCGGGAGUCUGGGAUGGGGAGGAGCUAGGCUUGGCAGGGGAUCUGGGCUGGGAGCACUUGAGAUGGCACCUGGCCCUGGAGGGCAGGAUGGGGUGUGUCUGUCUCUAGUCCCUCUGGACUCUGUCAGCCUCUGCAGUCUCUUUCCACAGAGGCCUUUGAGCCUGGAUCGUGUCUCCCUGUUGGGCGUCGGGCCUGGGGACCAGACUCGUGAGGAGGGGAAGGACCCUGGUUGUUCAGAGAGCCCCUGUUUCCUGUCUCCCUGCCGGGCCUGGUCUGGGCACUGCUCCUUCUGAUGGAAGAGCGAACAAACCUGGGGACGGGGGAGGGGCUCUUGUCCUCAAAGCUUGGUUCAUUGUUUCUUUUCUCUUUUGCCUUCCUCCUUUUUGUUUUCCACCUAUUUUUGGUUUGCUUUUUAAGAUCUUCCUUUUGGACUUCCUAUUUACUUUUUUCCAACUUCCUUCCUCGCUUCCUCCCGUCCCCUCUUCCUUCCUUUUUUCUUUCUCACUUUUUGUCACUGCCUUCCUCCAUUUCUUGCCUGCAUUGCUGUUUUUCUCCCUGGCCCCGAGUCUAUUCUGGGGAGCUUUCUCAUGUUUUCGGGCUUCCUUUCCUCACUAACCUCUCAUUUUGCUUGGAGAUGGGCAGCGGUGCUAGGAGGCCGCUGAGUUCCCUCGGCGACAUCGCUGAGGCUGAGGCUGAGGUUCAGCUACGCGGUAUUUGCUGAAGGCAGCCAGAGGUUGACGGCCGCAAGACACGAGAUCCUUGGAAGUCACAGGGUCUGUAGACACCGUGAGGAACGCUGCCCCUUCCUUAAAAAGCCUCUGCCUGGACCAUGGCAGCCUUUCUGGGGGUUUCUGUGUUGGGAGGGAUGUUCGAGCACCAGCACUAGCCAGCAAUUUCAGAAAACUGGGUUUCCUCAUGCCUCAGCUCUGUUUUGAGAAACGCGUCUCCCAGUUUUUACCUCUAUAUAAAGGAGUUUGGGUUGCUAUAAUUUGUAUAAUUGCAAAACCCCAGCACAGAUAUUUAAGAUCCAAUCAUCACACUUGUGGGUGAAAGGGAGAGUCCUUUCUAGAAAGUCCCAUCAGUCUUACCUCCAGAUCCCCGUGGGUCACGAGGCCUGGAGCAACCAGGUCUACCCCAGGACCCCAUGGAGUUGGAUGGUCCUCCCAGGAGACUAUUUUUUUUUUAAAAGGUGUUAUUUAGUGAGUGUUUAUUGGACAUGAGGCACUGUCUUGUACAGUCUCCGCAUUUCACAGAUGAGGCUCGGAGGGUUAAGCGAUGCGCCCAAGAUUCUUGAGCACAUAAAUGGCAGGAUUGGGUCUCAAACUCUGGUAAAUCUGAGGCUAACACUCUCUCUCUCUUAACUCUCAGUGUUGUCUUCCUGAGCCUUUAUAACAGAGGCUUGCAAACUUUUUGGACUUCAACCCACGAUAAUAAAUCCAUUUUAUAUGUUCACAUACUAUAUAACAACAUUCACAUGCUUAUUUAACAAAUUCCUCAUGCAACAAUGUACAUCUACGUAUACGAGGUAUUCUGACAUACUCUAUCCUAUCUUUUCCAUUUCAUUCUAUUUGUGAAAAAUAUAUUUGUGAGAAAUCUAUGCUGGGAGUCAGGAAGAUCAUUUGCUGAGCCACGAAUGAGUUGUGACCAGCACUGGAAAAAUUCUGUGAGACAGGCAAGCACACUUGCCCCCACGGUGCAUGUGGAAGUGUUUCGAAGUGUUCUUGGUGUUUCUGUCAGGGCGUGCGAGGAGACCGAGGCAGGGCGGUGUACUGACGUGGAAGGAUUCUGUAGAGACGGGGGCACCAGAACCCCUGAAGGGGAGCCCGGCUGGAGGAGAGGGUGAACUGCUCGUUAAGGACAGUGUUACCAAACCUUGAGGGGAAUAUCAAGUUCCAGAAACAUGGCAGAAGCAAGUCCUUCCUGGGCCCAGAGUGAAGUUUAGUCUGUAGGAAAAUGACCAGGAAGACUCACAGCUGGAGGUUGUUUAAUGAUUUGUGGUGACUCAGUCUCGUCCCAUAAAACAUCUGAAGUUUUUACUUUCCCUCAAGAAGCUUCUGUAGGGAAGAAGCAUUUGAUAAUUUAUCAUUCAAAUAAGGAAAAUACUGUCAGAUACUGCUUGACAAGUUCAUCUUGAACUUAAGACAUUUUCUUGUGCAAUAUUUGAGAUAUAUAAAAAUAUAUAAAGAUGCCUGUGAUAAAAGCCUAUGAAUAUGAAUAUAUGAAUAUGAAUAUAUUACCAAGGUUAAGAAAGAAAAGAAAAUAAAGUGACCUUUCAUUUAAGACUAACUUAAUUUAUUGAGCAUUAAACUUUUGGAUGAUUCCACUCAAGAUAUUUCAUUAGGAAGAAGGUCAGUAGGGAUAUUUAUCAGUUUUCCUAAUGCAGAAGAGUUCCUUCUUAAAUAUUAUUUGUUUUGUCCACAUUUUCUUCCCUUUGGAACUUGUGAAGAUUUUUUACUGUCCUCCUCUUUUGGCCUGUAAUACGCUAACAAUGAUAGUGCCAAUUGCAAACCCACACAUCUUAUUUAUCAGAGGUUAAGAGCAGAGGACAUUUCUGUAGCAAAGAUCAAAGAUAACAUCAUGUUAUCACUUACAGAUAAUAUUAGAAGAUUUCCUUAUUAUUUCUUUAACCUGAUCUUCAGGGAUUCUGGCUCCGUAUCUAUUUGUCCUGUUUGUCUUAAUUCCAGCAGAGAUAACACCCAACUUUGAAUAUCUUUUAUUUGUAAGAUUUCUUAACAACCUAUUAUAGUACAUGUAGCUACUAAAUGAAUAUAUAACCAUUUUUAUAUGGUUAUAUAUAACCUACGUCGAAGUUCAGUAGUAUUCCUUUUUGGAGAUAUUUAAAAAUACUAAGCCAAUCAUCUUAAAUAUAUUACCACUGCUACUAUCAGCUUUUGCAGAGAUGAUGUCUAAUGUGAAACACUAAACGUGGUAGGGUUUUCCCACGUAUCAGUCCCAGAGAGAUGUCACCCAUAGAGUCAAGGUCUAAAGAGUGAAUCUUUUUUGUGGUAUAAUUUUAAGUUCAAUUUAACAAAGAUUUUGCUGAGCACCUGGAACAUGCUGGGCUCUAAGCUGGGCGCUGGGGACCCAGGGCUGAGCCAUUCCUAAGUCCUGACUGGAUGAGUCCGGUCAGAGACUCACUUUUUAGCUACAGUGGCUGAUUUCGCAUUUAGGCUCUCUAGAGUCAGUACUUACUGAAUAUGGCCCGUAAAGGAACAGUGUAGUUUUUUUUUUUUUUUUUUUUUUUUAACACAAAGGAUACUUGAGACAGAACCCAAAGAUAGGACCUAAAGAAAGUAUGAUUUUGGUGUAGGGUUGGUAGAAUUGCUCUAAUGUUAAGGCGACUUUAACCUUGGAUCCAGCCAUUGUAGUCAUUUCAGUUUUUUAAGGGUUACUGAUGUUUUAUUUCUUGUGAAUAUAUUAUUUAGAUUGACAUAUUAAAGAAAGGAGCACAAAGAUGCCAGUAAUACUCCUUUUCAAAAAGAUUUUAUUUUUGUGUGUGAGAGAGAAAGGGAGGGUGAGAUUGAGAGAGCACAAACCCGAGCAGGAGGAAGGGUAGAGGGAGAAGCAGGAAGCCAGAUGCAGGGCUCUAUCCUAGGACACCGGGAUCCUAGGACACCGGGAUCCUGAGCCAAAGGCAGACGCUUAACUGACUGAGCUACCCAGGUGCUCAAAUAGUAAUACAUAUUUAUGUGUGUGCGUGAGUGUGUGUGUACACAUCUGUAUGUGGGUACAUGUGUAUUUUACUUUAAGGGUUAGGAAUUCUCCCUUUUUGGGGUUUCAUGUUGAGAAUGCUAGUACUUCAGAGUACUAGAGUAUUUCCUGACCUCCCACAAGAGUACCAUUAUAUCCCAUUAUUAACUGAGCUGUAGCAAAUCAUACUGCUCAUGUAAGAGCAUUUAUAAAACAAAGUAAAGAUGUGGUUUUCUUUCAUUCUUUGGGGUUUGCAUACCAUUACAAGAGGAACAUAAACAUUCUCAACUACACGCUGUUAAUGUCCAUUUCCAGUGAUUUUAGGGAGUACUGUGUAUCACAGUUUUUGCAGGGAGAAAAUUCACUUUCUGGUUCUUCUUGACAUUAUUAUCUAGCUAGCUUUCUUGGGUGACUUGAACUUGCCAUCAUCAUCUCUGCUUACUUUCAACCUUAAAGGACCUAAAAGAGAUAGUGUUUUGAACCUGAGUUCUCUGAUUUUCCCUGCUUUCCCCAGCAAAGUUAUGAGCUUGAGGAUAGCAGGUUUAAAGAAUCAGAGGGAGAGAGGAUAUAUAUAUAUUUUUCCUGAUGCUGACAUUGUGGAUUAUUGUGCCCAGAUGCAGUAAGUCUCCGAGGUGCAGAGGGACGGAGAGCACACUGGAGUGGGAAAUGGGAUAGAAUAAUGGGAUUCAGUUCCGUGUCAUAAUUUUGUAGCUUGGUUUCACUUUUUGACAAAGUAUUGUCAAUCCCCAGAACAGUAAACCAGAACCAAAUUGAAAUAUAUGUAAUAAUAUAGAAACACAUUGUCAAACUAACUAGAAUGCCUAAAAAUCAUUUACUGCUUGGAAUUACAAACAUCACCUCCCACACCUCUAUCCCCUUUAGACCAGGUAGCUGAAAUGGGUACUAGAUGCCGUACGGGCCCGUGUAUGUCUCCUUUCUUGUAAAUCAGUUUUGCGAAGCAUCAUGAAAGGGCUGAGAUGCUUUAAGAAGAAUGUGCAUUGCAGUGCAUUUCCUGCAUUUCCCUCCAGGAAAUGAGGGAAUGGCUGCUAAGCUUUCCUUACCUGAGGGCCAGCGCGUCCUUAGGUUGUGAGAUGAACAUAAUCUGUGAGAAGACAAGUGCAGACCAAGGGAAGUGAGCAGGUCUAACAUUUAGCUUUACGACCAAACCCAAGUUAAAGCCAAUAAAGACACUCUGAUGGUCUACC